GACGAACGCUGGCGGCGUGCUUAACACAUGCAAGUCGAACGGAAAGGCCCUGCUUUUGUGGGGUGCUCGAGUGGCGAACGGGUGAGUAACACGUGAGUAACCUGCCCUUGACUUUGGGAUAACUUCAGGAAACUGGGGCUAAUACCGGAUAGGAGCUCCUGCUGCAUGGUGGGGGUUGGAAAGUUUCGGCGGUUGGGGAUGGACUCGCGGCUUAUCAGCUUGUUGGUGGGGUAGUGGCUUACCAAGGCUUUGACGGGUAGCCGGCCUGAGAGGGUGACCGGCCACAUUGGGACUGAGAUACGGCCCAGACUCCUACGGGAGGCAGCAGUGGGGAAUAUUGCACAAUGGGCGGAAGCCUGAUGCAGCAACGCCGCGUGCGGGAUGACGGCCUUCGGGUUGUAAACCGCUUUCGCCUGUGACGAAGCGUGAGUGACGGUAAUGGGUAAAGAAGCACCGGCUAACUACGUGCCAGCAGCCGCGGUGAUACGUAGGGUGCGAGCGUUGUCCGGAUUUAUUGGGCGUAAAGGGUUCGUAGGUGGUUGAUCGCGUCGGAAGUGUAAUCUUGGGGCUUAACCCUGAGCGUGCUUUCGAUACGGGUUGACUUGAGGAAGGUAGGGGAGAGUGGAAUUCCUGGUGGAGCGGUGGAAUGCGCAGAUAUCAGGAGGAACACCAGUGGCGAAGGCGGUUCUCUGGGCCUUUCCUGACGCUGAGGAGCGAAAGCGUGGGGAGCGAACAGGCUUAGAUACCCUGGUAGUCCACGCUGUAAACGGUGGGUACUAGGUGUGGGGUCCAUUCCACGGGUUCCGUGCCGUAGCUAACGCUUUAAGUACCCCGCCUGGGGAGUACGGCCGCAAGGCUAAAACUCAAAGGAAUUGACGGGGCCCCGCACAAGCGGCGGAGCAUGCGGAUUAAUUCGAUGCAACGCGUAGAACCUUACCUGGGUUUGACAUGGAUCGGGAGUGCUCAGAGAUGGGUGUGCCUCUUUUGGGGUCGGUUCACAGGUGGUGCAUGGCUGUCGUCAGCUCGUGUCGUGAGAUGUUGGGUUAAGUCCCGCAACGAGCGCAACCCUUGUUCACUGUUGCCAGCACGUUAUGGUGGGGACUCAGUGGAGACCGCCGGGGUCAACUCGGAGGAAGGUGGGGAUGACGUCAAGUCAUCAUGCCCCUUAUGUCCAGGGCUUCACGCAUGCUACAAUGGCUGGUACAGAGAGUGGCGAGCCUGUGAGGGCGAGCGAAUCUCGGAAAGCCGGUCUCAGUUCGGAUUGGGGUCUGCAACUCGACCUCAUGAAGUCGGAGUCGCUAGUAAUCGCAGAUCAGCAACGCUGCGGUGAAUACGUUCCCGGGGCU
rnacentral:rRNA from 1 species